UACGGAGGGUGCAAGCGUUAAUCGGAAUUACUGGGCGUACAGCGUGCGUAGGCGGUUUGUUUAGUCAGAUGUGAAAGCCCCGGGCUCAACCUGGGAACUGCAUUUGAUACUGGCAGACUAGAGUAUGGUAGAGGGGGGUAGAAUUCCUGGUGUAGCGGUGAAAUGCGUAGAUAUCAGGAGGAAUACCAGUGGCGAAGGCGGGUCUCUGGGCAGUAACUGACGCUGAGGAGCGAAAGCGUGGGGAGCAAACAGG
rnacentral:rRNA from 1 species